rnacentral:sRNA from 1 species
UAUCAGUUCUUACAACUUUUACCUUUGC